CCUACGGGAGGCAGCAGUGGGGGAUAUUGCACAAUGGGGGAAACCCUGAUGCAGCGACGCCGCGUGAGUGAAGACGGAUUUCGGAAUGUAAAGCUCUGUCAGCAGGGAAGAAAAUGACGGUACCUGACCAAGAAGCCCCGGCUAACUACGUGCCAGCAGCCGCGGUAAUACGUAGGGGGCAAGCGUUAUCCGGAUUUACUGGGUGUAAAGGGAGCGUAGACGGUUUUGUAAGUCUGGAGUGAAAGCCAGGGGCCCAACCCCGGGACUGCUUUGGAAACUGUGGAACUGGAGUAGAGGAGGGGCAGGCGGAAUUCCUGGUGUAGCGGUGAAAUGCGUAGAGAUCAGGAGGAACACCAGCGGCGAAGGCGGCCUGCUGGACUGUAACUGACGUUGAGGCUCGAAAGCGUGGGGAGCAAACAGGAUUAGAUACCCGGGUAGUC
rnacentral:rRNA from 1 species